rnacentral:rRNA from 1 species
GUGGGGAAUCUUGCGCAAUGGGCGAAAGCCUGACGCAGCCAUGCCGCGUGGAUGAUGAAGGUCUUAGGAUUGUAAAAUCCUUUCACCGGUGAAGAUAAUGACUGUAGCCGGAGAAGAAGCCCCGGCUAACUUCGUGCCAGCAGCCGCGGUAAUACGAAGGGGGCUAGCGUUGCUCGGAUUUACUGGGCGUAAAGGGCGCGUAGGCGGACAUUUAAGUCAGGGGUGAAAUCCCGGGGCUCAACCUCGGAACUGCCUUUGAUACUGGGUGUCUUGAGUAUGAGAGGGGGGUGUGGAACUCCGAGUGUAGAGGUGAAAUUCGUAGAUAUUCGGAAGAACACCAGUGGCGAAGGCGACACACUGGCUCAUUACUGACGCUGAGGCGCGAAAGCGUGGGGAGCAAACAGGAUUAGAUACCCCAGUAGUCC